CCUUACCAUUACUCCUUAUUUGCUUAAAUAAAGGUUAACGAUAAAUAGUUUACUCCACUGACGUUAACUGUAACUAAACAAGAAUUUCUCCAUAGUACACGGAUGCCCAAUCUGCACUAUCAUUUUCUAUGUUCAGGGGACCGUGAAAUUGAGGAAAAACUCUAAUUUGACAUUAGAAUUAGAAAGAUCUUAUCAUAGGGAACAUGUGUAUUAAGUUUCAAGUUGAUUGGACUUCAACUUCAACAAAAACUACCUCGACCAAAAACUUUAACCUGAAGCGGAACAGACGGACGGACAAACGAACGGACGCACAAACCAGAAAACAUAAUGCCCAUAAAUGGGGUAUAAAAAUGCGAUUUGAAGUAUGCCAAUAUAAUUUUUAGACUCAUUUAACGCUAAACGUAUCGACUUUAGUGUUAAAAAACUGACACAUAGAGCAAAAGAUCAUUCCAAUCCUCCUGACAUAUUUGCGGUAGGUGAAUAUUUCUUAGUAUGCUUUUGAUAUGUUCAAAUAUAUAAAAAACUUGGCAAUAUAAACAAAUUUUCACGUCGUUAUAACCGUAAAUAAAAGGUGGCAGUCGAGCUGUUUGGAUAAACCAAACUCUGAAAACAAACAAUACAAAUAAAGACUGUUAAAUCAGAAAUUUCGCUUCGAGCUAAAUGAUUCCUCCCCAUUUUUUCAAAGAUAACAUACGCCUACAUACGGGCUUUGUCAUUUUCUAACAAAAAAUAUGAGAGCCUUUAAUUCAAUAGCGUCCAAAAAACAAAGUUGCAUUAGAUUAUGGUAGUCCUCCUUGAUACGGACCUUUUCAUUUUUGAACGAAAUUAUGAUAGGUCAUGAUUAAGGAUGUAUUCUUCUGACGCUUCAGUCUCGUGGAAAUUUCGUUCUGGAAUUAUUUCCAAAACAUGUGAUACAAUUUUAAUGCGCAAAAUAUCGUUGUUACAGCAUUUUGUUAUUUGCUCUGUUUUAUUGUUACAUGAAGUGAUGGUUUGGGAGUACACGUCAAUAAGACAGCAACUUAACAGCAAUACGACUAUACGUGUUUACAUAAAUUUUUCAACAAUUUUACGUAGAUAUAUUCAAGCGAUGAAUAAAUCCAAUUCUAAAUGAGCUAACUAUAAAUUAAACGCACACGAGUGCAAAAGUAAUAAUUUUAAGCUUUGAUCAUACCAAAUCACACUGAAACAACGAAGAAAGGCCAAUUAACCCUCAUGAAGACGAAUCGCGUGUAUUGCAUAUUCAAUUGGAAAGGGAACUAAUUUUGAUAUUUUUAACAAGGAAGUUUAUAUUUGUUUUUGCAAAAACUGUAUAUUAGGGUGCUUAAGGGUUAAUUUCUUUUACACAUUUUAAAUGUAUUUUUUCGAGUACUUUCGUGCUAAAAGGCCGUUGUUCACGUGUUACGUCCAAAUGGAUGGAAAUGGCUAAAAUUAUUUCAUGUUCAACGUAGAUUCAUUGAUUUGUUUUUAUUUUAAAUACCUCUGUAUAUGGUACCCAUGAAAAAAAUGAAAACAACACGUGAACAUAUAACAUAUCACACGACAGCCGCAUAACUAAUCAAUACCUGUGCAUGCAAUAUGCAUAUUAUGUUUUUAUCAUUUUAAAAUCGAGUGUUCCUGGUACUGUUGACGUCGUUUGCCAGAAUGAAGACCUUUGUAGUUCUUGUUGCAUUCUUACAACUUGCAAUAGUUGCAAGUCUAAGAAAACACAAACCGGUCAGUAUUACCUUGAAUGCAGGGAAAAACAUACCAGUUAUUGGCCUCCUAAUAGACAAUUCGAACUAGAUUAAAGAAGGGAAUUAUCAGUUAGACAAAACAAAGGCAGUUUCGAAGCAAAAUAGGGACAGCAUUUCUGCAAUUAAAUCCAGACUAACAGACCUCAGUAAGGCGGUAAAUGGCUUGCUUAAAACAACUGCACAACAGGCUGAUCCGGCAAGUGAUGGUUACAUUGGAUGUUACAAGGAUGACGGCAAUCGACAUCUCAAAUAUUAAAUAUCGGACUUGGGGAAUUCUAUAACCUUGGCUAAAUGCCGUGAACAUUGUACAGGAUAUAAAUACACGGGCUUGCAGGUAGAUAUGAUUCCACAACAAACUUUUAAAGUUCAAUAAUCAGAUACGUAAUUUGAAAUAGGCAUUUGUAAUUGGCUUAUAAUCGUAAUAGGUUAUACUAUUGUAGAUAUUUAUUACUCAAACAUGGUCGAGGCAAAGCUGAGAUAUAAAAAACAUAUACCAAAUAAUAUAGUUUAUAUAAAAUGUGCUUUGUGUUUACCACUGUGACGUCACUUUGUUGAGUUAUGAUCAUUUAUUUGUUCAUAUCCUUGAAAAACGUCUAUUCAUUCCUUUUUAUUUUGUGCAAAUCAUAUACAUGUAUUAAUUAUUAUCUAUAGACAUUACAAUUUGUUUUUCAUUUUUGUAUCGGACAUAUUGUCUUUGUGGAAAUGAAUUAGCAAACAAACAGUAUCCAAGGGUACCAGAAUCAGAUUGUAACAUGGCUUGUGCUGGUGAAACGAAUCAAAUGUGUGGAGGUGGCUAUAGAAACUCGAUAUAUUUAGUCAAACCGUAAUCGCAAAGAGAAAUGCAGAAAAAACACAGAUAUCAGUAUCAAAAUAAAAUGAUAGUACUUUAA